rnacentral:rRNA from 1 species
UACGUAGGUGGCAAGCGUUGUCCGGAUUUACUGGGCGUAAAGGAUGCGUAGGCGGACAUUUAAGUCAGAUGUGAAAUACCCGAGCUUAACUUGGGUGCUGCAUUUGAAACUGGGUGUCUAGAGUGCAGGAGAGGUAAGUGGAAUUCCUAGUGUAGCGGUGAAAUGCGUAGAGAUUGGGAAGAACACCAGUGGCGAAGGCGACUUACUGGACUGUAACUGACGCUGAGGCAUGAAAGCGUGGGGAGCAAACAGG